rnacentral:rRNA from 1 species
AUUGAACGCUGGCGGCAGGCCUAACACAUGCAAGUCGAACGAGUGGCGGACGGGUGAGUAAUGUCUGGGAAACUGCCCGAUGGAGGGGGAUAACUACUGGAAACGGUAGCUAAUACCGCCUACCAUCGGAUGUGCCCAGAUGGGAUUAGCUAGUGGGUGGGGUAACGGCUCCCCUAGGCGGCGAUCCCUAGCUGGUCUGAGAGGAUGACCAGCCACACUGGAACUGAGACACGGUCCAGACUCCUACGGGAGGCAGGAGUGGGGAAUAUUGCACAAUGGGCGCAAGCCUGAUGCAGCCAUGCCGCGUGUAUGGAGAAGGCCUUCGGGUUGUAAAGUACUUUCAGCGAGGAGGCGUUACUCGAAGAAGAAGCACCGGCUAACUCCGUGCCAGCAGCCGCGGUAAUUC